GACGAACGCUGGCGGCGUGCCUAAUACAUGCAAGUCGAACGCACUCUCGUUUAGAUUGAAGGAGUUUGCUCCUGAUUGAUAAACAUUUGAGUGAGUGGCGGACGGGUGAGUAACACGUGGGUAACCUGCCCUAAAGUGGGGGAUAACAUUUGGAAACAGAUGCUAAUACCGCAUAAAACCUAACACCGCAUGGUGUAGGGUUGAAAGAUGGUUUCGGCUAUCACUUUAGGAUGGACCCGCGGUGCAUUAGUUAGUUGGUGAGGUAAAGGCUCACCAAGACCGUGAUGCAUAGCCGACCUGAGAGGGUAAUCGGCCACACUGGGACUGAGACACGGCCCAGACCCCUACGGGAGGCAGCAGUAGGGAAUCUUCCACAAUGGACGAAAGUCUGAUGGAGCAACGCCGCGUGAGUGAAGAAGGUUUUCGGAUCGUAAAACUCUGUUGUUGGAGAAGAAUGUAUCUGAUAGUAACUGAUCAGGUAGUGACGGUAUCCAACCAGAAAGCCACGGCUAACUACGUG
rnacentral:rRNA from 1 species